UCAAAACCACAUUUGUUCCUAUGAAAAUUCUCUACUACUUUAAACUGCCAAGAUAUCAAGAUAUUAUUUUCUAUUUUCCAUCCCUUUUUUGAAGCUGUGUCUUUGUAAUCCUAAUGUCUUAAAAAAUAACACACACAUGCACACACACACAUGUGCACACACACACACACAAAUAUACAUAGACUUUAUCCGACAGACAUCUGAAUUAUAUGAAACCUGUAGUCUAUAUAAUGAAGUCAAACUUCUUUUGAGCUCGCAUUUUUGUGAGCUACACAUAACUGACUUUAUUAAUCAUUAUUUCUAUGGAAAUUCUUAAUAAGAAAACAAUAGGUAGUACUUUUUUUUAAUUAUCAAAUUCCAAAUUGUUAACUUUGGGUUUAGUGAGAAAUAAUUUAGUUCUGCCAUCUUACUGACCUUGGAGUGGUGGAAUAUUUUGGAAGAGAAAUAUAUGUGUCCAUCAUACCUAAUAUAUAUGAUAAAUUGUGUAUAUAUGCAUACAUAUAUAAUGUGUAUGCUGAAGACAUUUCUACGUAGUUUUAAUAUGUUAAGCUUCUGACUUUAUUUGCAUAUUUUGAGUAGAAUAUAUUUGGGUAAAAUUUUGCAUUAAUUUUGUUUUAUUCCUGAAGAAAAAAAAAAACGUUGUAAAGGAUAUGUUGGAUGGUGCCUUAAAAUGGGAUAAUUUGCACUCUGAGUUCCUACAGGAAAAGAAAAAAUCUUCAUGGAGUUUCUAGGCAGUAACUCUGUUUUGGGAUGAUAUUGUUAAAACAUUUUAAUAGCUAAGAAAUAAAAAUAUUCAGAAGAUGUUAACAUUUUAGAAGGUUUUGCUAUGGUUUAUGUAUACUUUCUAAUGGGAACGUUAUAAAUUAUUUUGAAUAAUUUGUUCCAAAGCACUUUAUUAUAUUAAAAAAGAACCUCCAUAAAAAGAUGUGCUUCUUCUUCUAUUUCACUGAAAAUAACUUUUUCCUCUUUUGCACUUAAAUUCUCAGUUUUAUAUUGUCAUAAUGCUUUACUUUGUAUUACCUCUUGAAGUGCUUCAUGAUCAUAUAAUUGGGACUAAAUAGAAAGUAAAUGCACCUAAGCUGAAUGGUUGCUGCUCACCAACUACAUAAUUAUUGUCAGGGAGGUUAAAAUGCAGAAUGUCUGUCAACUUUAAAAGAAGUACACAUGGAGGGCAGUGGUGGGUAAGAUGGAAAUCACAGCUGGAGGUAAUGAUUACUCUGAGUGUCUUGCUACAGCAAACAUAGCAUUUAGAAAUUCAUGAACAUUCCUUUUAAAUGUUGAAAACUCUUUGCAAAACAAACCAUACAUUAACUAAAGCACUGAUGACUGCACUGCCUACACACUAAGCCACCCAUAAUUUUGGGAAAGGUUAUUUCUAUGCAACUUCAAAAGAAACAACUAUGAAUCUUUUAUUUCAGAAAUUGGCUUUGGUGACAAAUAAGUUUGAGAUACAUAAUACAUAUAGUUCUGCUUCUCUGACAUUUAAUAUGCAGUGCCAUGCCACAUAAUUUUCUUGUUUACUUUCUAAACUUAAGGGUAACAUAUAUCCAAGAUUAUAUAUCCUUUCCAAUAUAUAUCCAAUAUAUAAAAAUGUGGUCGUACAUUGCUAAAUAAGGCACAGUUCAUGAGUGAUACUUUCUGGAGUCUCUCAUUAAACAUUAAUCGCCCCAGACUCGCUGUUUUUAAAUCAAUUUGGGUUAGUAAGCCCCUGUUUAUGGGAGAAUAAUUAACCCUCUAGUUUAUUCAAUAAGGAAGUAGGUUUUCUCACAUCCAUUCCUGUCCACAUGCUCCUCUGCUGUUCUGGCUGCUACAUGAGUAGCUUUCACUGUACACUCCAUUGUCCCCCGUAACACAGGAAGGCAUCCUCCUGAGUUAGCAGUAACUGAAGGAUAAAGAUGAACAAACCACAAUUUCUUUCAUUCUCCCAACUCCUGGCUUUAGGGGCUGCUUUCUGGCUUUAAAAAUAUUGCACUGGAAUAGAACCAAGGAUCAAAUAUCUGGGACAUGAUAUCUUGAGUAAAACAGGAAAUGUCUGCUACAGAGACAAACUGAAGUUUGUGUAUAUCGUGCUGAUUCAGAAGAGAAUGAAGGCAUUUGUCAAGAGAUAAUGUCAGACUAAUCAGACAUGUUCCAAUCGAUUAAUGCAUUUGGAGGAUUUCCAAAUAUUUGCUGAUCUAAGGACGGUGAGGUAUAUGAUGGGAAACAAAUCUGAGAAAAGAAGGAUGGUAGAUGCUUUCCCAUUGUGACCUGUGAUCAUUUUGGUAAGAACACUUUACUCAAUUAAGAGGCGAUCAAGUGAUUCCAGGCCUGCUGCUAAAUAAUUAUGAGAUGAUAUUUGGAAAUAUGUAUUUCUCCUUUACCUCCUGAAGCCACAGGUAUGUGCCUGAGGUUCUCAACAAAUGGCUGAUUAUCUCUCAGAAUAUUCAGUUGUCUGGUAGCUGGCACUAAUAGCUCAGAAUAAGCUAUAUUUAACUUCAGGAUCCAUCUGGACUCUUGGCCACUAGUGGUAGGUAAUACUAGUUGCCGAAUUCAGUUUCUCUGAGCCUGUGAAAACUGCCUGAUUUUAUUUCAAAUUCAUUUUGCAUCCUGUGGGAUGGAUUUGAGAUCAGGGCAAAAUAUUCAACCUUAUUUUUGUUAAUCUUGCCCCAAAUAUGAUCCAGAUUAACCUUUCUUAACACAAAUUUGCAUUUUUUACAAAUAUCAUUUUUAGUGAAAUUAAAAUCUAUGAUUAUUAACGUUAAUAUUGUGCAAGUAGCAUUUGUAAUAUAAAGUUUUCAAAAAAGGAAGAUAAUUUUAUUUACUGGAGACUUAUUUUGCCAUUUUCAACUUGGAAGCCCAGGACUCAAACAAAAGUAUUGUUUGAAAACUGUUGGGGUUGAUUAUUACUUAUGCCGGAAGUUUCAAAAAAAAUUUUUAGAAAAAAAGAAAGCUGUCUUGUUCUAAUAAUUUGAAAUUUUAACAGUUAAAUUAUUGCUAAAUUUGCAUAAGAUUUGCUCUGUAAGACAAUACUUUUUAUAAUUGUUAACAUGUAGUUGUUUUACUUAUUUGUGCAUACUAGGUUAAUAUAUACAUAGUCAUAUUAAUAUAUGUUUGUAUGUAUACAUACUUAAAUAUAAAUUUUAUUUUUUAAAUGCACGAUUUAAGAUUUUGUCAUAAAUUGUUAUAAAUUGUUUUGUGGAGUUUAUGCAUUUUGUAAAUUUGAUGGUGGCAGAUGGUGUACAUGUGAGUUAAUUGAAUAGAUCUUUCAUAGUCUGGCACUUUUUAUGCUUUUAGAAUUUGGAGAAGUUAGUCUUUACUGAUGAAUAGAGAGCUAUCGUACUUUAGAAACUAUUGAGCAAACAUAAAAUUUUAAGAACAACUUAUUUUUAUCCUAUGGAUUUUCCUAUUAUAUUUAAACUUGCUCUUUUAGUUUGUUUUUAGAGCUCUCCUCAAGAAACAUACUCUUUGUUUUUAACGCUCAAUCCUUUUUUAUUCUUUGUAGAAACUAGUGGUCUCCUAUUAAGUAAAUAGAUGUGGGUCUCAUUAGAGGGAUCCAUUCUAAAACAGAAGAGGACAACACUCAGGGAGGGCUGCAAUGAGACAGAGAAUCCUGAGAUUGUUCCUCAUGUGCAGAUCUUCACCUGGGGCUGCAGAAGACUGUACAGCUAUAGACAAAAUAAUGAUAAGGUACAGAUGUCGUGGAAAGCCAGAACAUAGGAGUGAAUCCAUCCUACAGUCUGAAGGCGGAAACAAAGCCAUAAAUGGGGUUGGGGGAGAAACCCUGUGGUAAGAAUCUGUAGAGAUGAGGAAAAAAUUGUAGGAUUUAAGGUAGGUUAGGAACUGGCAGUUCAGAGCAAUGCCAGGGUAUUAGAAACUCACUCUCGUGUCAUCUAAGUUUCCCAAUAUAGGAUUGAGUGGACCUCAUCAUAUUAGCCACAUUCAAGGAAUAUAUGUAUGUUAUAGAAGUCAAUGGUUACAUUAAAAUAUUAAGUUUGAACACAAGUUCUAAUUUAUUUUUAUCAUUAUUUCUUAAUAGCAAUUAAUUCUUUGGGGCUUCAAUUACUGACUGUAUUCCAAACGGUUACCAACAGUUCACUUCUUUUAUUGCAGAACUUACACCAUUUCCAAAUAACCAAUGUAAAUUUUUACCUCGGAUAUUAUUUUGUUACCCGCAAACAACAAAUGUGAAUUUAGAUUUAUCAUCUUCGUCGGGGACUGAAUUUCCCCUGUAAUAUUGUUUUUUGUUGAUUUGUUUGUUUUGUAGUGGCAUCCCCUGCCCCUAUGUACCUAUGUUUGAUUUAUCUUUUAUUUCCUUCUUUUAUACUUAAACCUUAAGGUGGAUUGGAAAGUUGAUAUCAGUGACACAAAGUUUAGUUGAUUGGGUACUUUACAUUUCUACUUGACUUUGUACAUUUCUGAUUUAUAUGAACAACAAGCAACUCAGACUAAGCCUCCUUCAUUGCCCUAAGAGGUCUACUAUAUUUCUAGUGAUUUUACCUAGGGGAUCUAUACAUGUACUAACAGUAGAAAUUAGAGGUGCAACACUACUGGCCAGAAUAUAGCAACAUCCUAAGUACAUUAAUAAUGUGUAAAGUGCCCAGCAUGUAAGGCACAAAUAAAAAUAGGGAAUGUCAUUUUAUUAAAUUAUCAGAAGUUAUGGGUCACAUUCAAACAGAAAUAUUCUAAGAAAUUCAAUUCUAAGAAAUUCAACUUACUUUUAAUGUCAAUGUUUCUGAAAUUGGUAAACAUCAUUGACGUCAAAAAGCCUUCUAUGCAUGAAAUAAAUUAUACUUGUCAUUUCUGAGCUUAUGGUAACAUGGUCAAGAAUUAAAGGUAUAUUCAUCUGACUUCUGUUUCAUCAGGCUGCUAUUUGAGAAGGGUUAUUUGCCUUAGUACCAUCAGCAGUGGUUGAAUUUUAUAUUUGGUUCUGCAUUUGUCAUUUAAAAUGUCCACAAAAAGAUAACCCCCUUAAGGAGCAUUAGAACUAGAAGUUACUGUGAACCUAGACGAUCGCCUGUUUUUUGCCAUCUAGCAUAAUGAAGGUCGUAGUAUUGCCAAAGUUUUUCGAAUUCACUGUAGUUUUUUCAAAACUAGAUAAAAACUCUGACCAAUUUUUGAGUCCUGGGGGACUAUCACUUCAGCCAUAAACACAAACAAGUUAACUAGAAUUUAACGAAAUAGUAAAUGGAGAAAAAAAUUCUAGAAUUACCUGAUUUGUUUCUAAAUUAUACUGUUGCUCCUAAAAAUGUUAAGAAAUUAGGGUCGUGAGCACUGUUGGUCACUAUGAUGAUAUGCUUACCCACUGAUGGUCAAAAUUUAUCAGAAGAAUUUUUAGAUUUGGACUAUGUCAUGGCUUAGAUGCUGAUACUGAUGAAUAAAGUGACAUGCAAUUUUAUGGAUAAAUGAAUGUUACUGUUAAGUAGUUUUUAAAUAUGUACAUUUUAAUAUAAUGUAUUUCCUCAAAAUGCUAUUCUCAAUUUGAUGAUAUGCCUUGAAAAUCAAUACUGUUUUAGGAAGAAGGAAAUGUGGUAAAUUAAUGGUGUCAUUAGAAGAACGGAGGUUGCCAUAGAACCUCAUUUGCUUUACUCUUAGGAUGUAACUUUUAAAUUUAUUCUUAUUUGAAUUUUCUUAUCUUCCAUACUGAACAGGAAGCUUAUUGAAUGAACAAACCAUGAGUACAAUUAGCAUAUACCUAAAUUGAUUUGCAGUGAAAAGGUGCUUCAUAAAUUCUUGUUUGCCUGAAGAAAUUAGGAGGCAAAGGAGCAUCAAAACAAAAGGGAAAAUAAGAAUUAAAGUGAGAUGCUGUAUCAGAGGCCAAGUAAAGAUGCUGGUCUGCCUAAUCUGACUUUCUGACACUGAGAGGCAAACCUCCAAAAUUUCCACCUAUCUACAUACAUUCAUUCACUCACUCACCCAGUCUCUAUACAUUAGGAAGUCAUUGCUUUAUGUUAACCCUUGGUUUUGAAAAAGAAUGCAAAAUUAAAUGAAGAAUAAACUCUGUUUAAAAGGGAGGGUUUGUUUGACAGGCAUAUGUAUAAACACUGGAAAUUAUGAGAGUACAGAGGGUUUCCAAUUUUCCACAUACAGAAAGAGUACUAAAAAAUGGUGGUGUGUUCAGAGUAAUGGCAAACUUAAUUUAAUUUCAUGCCUUCAAGCAAUAUUACUUUAUUUAUUGAGAAUUUUAACACAAAGCAAUCAUUUGUAUAUCACGGAUACCCAGAAAGAAUAAAUAUUGUGGUUCUAAUUCCUACACUUUGAUUUAUUAGUCUUUAGUUUAUUUGAAUGUCAUGUCACAGAGUACAGCUAAUAAAAGCAUGAACAUUUGUCUUUGAGCAAGUUUGAUCUGAGGUGAGUAACAUUAAACAAUAGCCUAUUGACAAGCAAUUAAACACCACUUCUUUUCUUAGGAGUGUUUUGAAUUACAUUUGUUCUAACUAGUGGCAGCAUCUUUUGUGUUUAGAAUUCCAAUAUAAUCUUAGAUGAGAAGAAUCUUUUAAUUAGAUUUUCAAUAGAAUCGGCCAAGACCCACUGCUCACCAUCUUGACUCUUUGUCUUCAUUGAUUUGGACCAAAACAAAACAAAGAUAAAUAGCAAAAUUCAUUAUCAAUGUUUAUUUCAACUGUCUAUUGUCAUUUCCUCAGGGUAUACAACACAGUUUUCCGCAGACAGAAUGCUGUGUUUCUUACUUUUAGCUUUAGAGCUGUAUAUUCAACAAUUCUGUGUCAUGGAAGAACCUAGCUGAGGCAAAAAAAAGAAAAAGGUAAUUUUCUUCUUCCAUUUACACGUAAAAUGUUUAUUUGAAGAAUAAGAAAUAAGCAAAGAGACAGGAGAAGGAAAUUGUGUUUCUUUCAGCAAGUAAAAAGAAAGGCAAAACCCAAAAUAAAUAAUAUGUAAUUAUUUUUUAUCUGACUAUUUUUUGGCAUUUGUUUCUGCAUUUCUAAAUAAUGGAACUAUAAUACAUUUUCACUAUUGGUCAAUUUUAGGUAUCAUUUACUUACUACCUAUAAUAAAAGUUAAAAUUGUAGCUAUGAAAGGACCCCUUUAAUGCUAAAAAUAUCACAGGAAAUAUUUGCAUUACCUAAGUCAAUACGUAAGUCAGCCAGGAAGAACAUUUACAAGACAAAGUUGAUCAUGAUACUCUCUUGUAAGUGAAGAUGCUAUUAUUUUAUAACCUAGAUGUGAGGAUCUGAAAGUUGUUAAAUAAAGGCUCCAUAUGAGCUCUUGUACUCUGUAAAAUGUCCUCUUAAGUUAGCUUUAGCUAAACUAACAUACUGCCAGGGAACAGUGUUAAUGUGUUUAAUUACCAAGCUCUUUCCAAGAAAGCCUUGUCACUUGUUCACUGGUCUUAUUGCCACUUUCUGUCUUCACUCUACUUCUACCUUUCCACAAACACAUCAGUACAGAUAUUUGCAUGUUUUGCACUUCUCCACAGUUUGUACUAGUUUCUAGAAGAAAUUUUUUACUGUCAAUUAAGGCAAUGCUUUAUUCACAUGUGGCUGCCACUAGAGAAAUGUCUUAAAUUAACAAAGAAAUAAAUCCAUUAAAAAAAAUGUUUCUCUGUUGCCUGUGCCUUUUGUGAAACCCCAAUUCACAUGCUCACUAACUUUUAAAAUCAUAUAAAAUUUUAAGAGCAAAAGAAUUUUAUUACAGUGUGAUGCAGGGUUAACCGUUUUGAAAUGAUACUUAUACUGCCUAAAUUAUACCUGGUCAUCCAAGUAGAAACUAACAAUGAUUGGGUAAUAAACAGAUGGAAACCAGGUUGCUAAGGAAAAGGAACAGGAAAUGAACUCCCUAAUUAGAUAACAAAGGUUUUGUCUACAUAAUGCCAAAAUAACUAAUUUAAUAUUUUGAAUCAGUUAGAUUGGGUUUUAUCAUGUAAGCAAAACAGAGAACUGAUUCCCUGAUGCUUUCGUUCUAUCUUCAGUUGUUUGUGGCAUUAUAGAGACAACACUUACGUAUGUUUCAAGCUACUUUACCUUUGUAUUUCAGGCCACAUUUCCUAGGGAGACUGUCUAAGGGAAAAUGAUUUUCUCUUUAGUUAUGAGACAAAGCCUAUACCUACAAAUUAGUUUGAUCACUUUGGUUGAGUUUACUAGUAAAGAGCCCUCCUAAAUAGUUUACAUGAUAUGUGUCUACACGUGUGUAUCUGAUUUGCCAAAAUUGAAAUAUUUUGUACAUGGCAAAUACGUUCUUUAAAUGUGUAAGCAAAUAGGUUUAUUUUAGUCAACAAUUGAUGACAGGAUAGAAAAAUAACCAGAAAUGUGGAUCCAGCUCUUAUCAUAGAAAAUUUGUACUCCUGUAGAUUCCAUGACAUCCUCACCUCCUGGUUUAUCUUUGACCUUUCUUUUGGAAUUUCUAAGGGUAGGCAUUGAAGUCUUCCAUUAGUCCUUGAAAACUCAGUCAUUACUCCUUUAAGUAUUGUCUCCCCUUUAUUAUCUCUCUCUCUCUCUCCUUCUGGGACUCCGAUUAGUUACAUACUAGGCCUCCCGACAUGUUCUCCCAGUCUCUUAGCCUCUUUCUCAUAUUUUCUAUCUCCUUAUCCCUCUAUGCUACAUUCUGAUUAAUUUCCUCAGAUGUAUCUUCGAGGUAAUUAGUUUUUUUUUCAUCCAUAUUGGUUGAAUCUACCAUUAAAUCUAUUUAUUCAGGAUUAUUUAUAAUUUUUAGUUUUUAUUUUUAUCUAAUUAAUAAGUGUGAAUUAAAAAAUCAAAUGAUUCUACAAACUAUGCAAUUCUUAGAACCUCUCUCCUUUUAUUUCUUCAUCCUGAGAAAUAAUUUUUUUGUUCUUUUAUCUGAUUAUUUUGGCGUUUGUCUCAGCAUUUCUAAAUAAUAGGACUAUAAUACAUUUUUAUUAUUGGUCAGUUUUAGGUAUCAUUUACUGACUUCCUAUAAUAACAGUUAAAAUUUAGUUAUUAAAGUAUCAUUUUAAUGUGGAAACUCAUAAACUUCAGUUGUGGGCACUAUUCUGAAAUUAUUUAAAUGAUUACUUCCUCUCAAUUUUCUCUGUUCUCUCUUUUUAGAACUUCCAUCUGGAAGUUAUAUCUCCAGCAUUCAUUUUCUAAUACUUUUUACACUUAUUAUUUUUUGCUUUACUUUCUGGAACAUUUUCUUGACUCUAUCUUUUAGCACUUCUCCAAAGUUUUUCAUUACUGCUAUUAUAUUUUUAAUUACUGAGAUCUUUUUAUUCCCUUAAGUAUUCCUUUUUAUAGCACUGUGUUCUUACUUUAUGGUUUGCCAUCUUUCCUUUUUUCUUUAAGGAUACUAAUUGUUGUAUUAAAGAGUUUUAUUUCCAUGUAUCCUCUCUACAGCCUGCAAAGCACUUGUUCUUAUACGUUUUCUUUCAUCUCUAUAUCUCUUGUUAGAGGUUUCCCCUAGAUGUGUGCUCAUUUGUUGUUGUCUGCACAUGAUUAAGAGUAGUGGAAUCCUCUGAGGCCUGUUGACAAUAAGCCUCAUUGUAGGAUGAUGUGGCUGGAGCUUUCAUUUGGCAAACUUCUGAUAUCAGAAUCUUAGGUCUUUCAUUUGAGGCUGUCAUAUUUCCACAUUUGUCUGGAGAGUAAAGACCUAAUUGACAGCAUUCUUAGAGCCAGUUAGGGUAAGAGAGGUAGAGUUUUUGGUGGGGGAGUUAGAAGGGGCUUCUUCACUUUGUUGCUUAUUUCCUUUGCUGUGCAGAAGCUUUUUAACUCAAUGCGAUCCCAUUUAUCCUUUUUUCUUUGGCUGCCUAUGCU
rnacentral:lncRNA from 1 species